ensembl:lincRNA
GGAAACUAAUACAGUUUGACUCUCUUCUAGAAAUUGUGAAGAUAAUAAUAUAUGAAAAUCUGAAUUUUUGCCAUAUUUGUUUGAUAUCGAAAAUGAGAAAAAAGGCAAGAUGACCAGAAGCUACUGACAGAAAAAAAUUAAGAAGCAGCACUAUUAGUGGAAGCCAACAAGCCUUUCCAUUGCUCCUGGGGAGCUGGUCCCAGAGAAGCCUACUAACUAGAUGGGAGGCAAGCAGCUGUGAGCUGUCUCUUUUAGCAGCUGACUUUCCUGGCUUGGCUAAGUUCACUUCAACUUCCUCUUCAGGAGAGAGGAGAGAAAUCAGCUGUCCUGGGGCCAGCUUUUAUUUCUGAUGAUUAUUGUCUCUUACCCGGUAUCCAGUCCUUCGGAAUGUAGAUCAUCUUUCUUAGCAGUCACUAUGUGGAGCUGGUAAAGAAGAAAAAGGUACCCUGUUAUUUCAGUGUUUGCCCCAAGUAAAGAUUCUCAGAUCACUGUUACAUGGGUAACUGACUUUUCCUUUCAUUUCCUCCAGCAGAGUAGAG